AGUGAACGCUGGCGGUAGGCCUAACACAUGCAAGUCGAACGGCAGCACAGUAAGAGCUUGCUCUUACGGGUGGCGAGUGGCGGACGGGUGAGGAAUACAUCGGAAUCUACUUUUUCGUGGGGGAUAACGUAGGGAAACUUACGCUAAUACCGCAUACGACCUACGGGUGAAAGCAGGGGAUCUUCGGACCUUGCGCGAUUGAAUGAGCCGAUGUCGGAUUAGCUAGUUGGCGGGGUAAAGGCCCACCAAGGCGACGAUCCGUAGCUGGUCUGAGAGGAUGAUCGGCCACACUGGAACUGAGACACGCACCAGACUCCUACGGGAGGCAGCAGUGGGGAAUAUUGGGCAACGGGCGCAAGCCUGAUCCAGCCAUACCGCGUGGGUGAAGAAGGCCUUCGGGUUGUAAAGCCCUUUUGUUGGGAAAGAACAGCAGCAGGUUAAUACCCCGCUGUUCUGACGGUACCCAAAGAAGAAGCACCGGCUAACUUCGUG
rnacentral:rRNA from 1 species